AACGCGAAGAACCUUACCAAGGUUUGACAUGCAGGGAAAAGCAUCAGAGAUGGUGUGUCCUUCGGGGUCCUGCACAGGUGGUGCAUGGCUGUCGUCAGCUCGUGUCGUGAGAUGUUGGGUUAAGUCCCGCAACGAGCGCAACCCUCGUCCUAUGUUGCCAGCGGGUCAUGCCGGGAACUCAUGGGAGACUGCCGGGGUCAACUCGGAGGAAGGUGGGGAUGACGUCAAGUCAUCAUGCCCCUUAUGUCUUGGGCUGCAAACAUGCUACAAUGGCCGGUACAAAGGGCUGCGAACUCGUGAGGGUAAGCGAAUCCCAUAAAGCCGGUCUCAGUUCGGAUCGGGGUCUGCAACUCGGCCCCGUGAAGCCGGAGUCGCUAGUAAUCGCGGAUCAGCAACGCCGCGGUGAAUACGUUCCCGGGCCUUGUACACACCGUGUCGA
rnacentral:rRNA from 1 species